CACAAUUGGCAUUAUUACGUACAUAAGCUCUUUUCAGAAACACUGAUAUGUGACAUCACGAAGUGGUGAUGACGCAACAGAAGAACCCACUUCAACAUGGUAUGUGACGUCACCAGAGGAUCAAGCGGGUCGUGACACGUAGGAAGAAUGAAGGAAUGUCAGCGAAUAAAGCUACAUAAGAAAAGUGCAAGACCAAAGACGAAGACGCCGAUUAAGGAUACACGGUUUGAGGUUUUAGGUUCAUAAGUAUGAGUUGUGUGUUGUAUGUGUCUGUAUGAGAUUC